rnacentral:rRNA from 1 species
GAAGAGGGAAGAGCCCAAGAUUGAAAGCUGGCGUCUUCGGCGUCCGCAUUGUAAUCUCAAGAAGUGUUUUCCGCUUCGGACCAUGCCUAAGUCCCUUGGAAAAGGGCAUCAUAGAGGGUGAUAAUCCCGUACAUGGCAUGGAGCGCCCGAGGCUUUGCGAUACACUUUCUAAGAGUCGAGUUGUUUGGGAAUGCAGCUCAAAAUGGGUGGUAAAUGCCAUCUAAGGCUAAAUAUUGGGGAGAGACCGAUAGCGAACAAGUACAGUGAUGGAAAGAUGAAAAGAACUUUGAAAAGAGAGUUAAACAGUACGUGAAAUUGCCAAAAGGGAAGGGUAGGAGGUCAGAGAUGCGUCUUGGGAUUCAGCCUUGCUUUUUUGCUCGGUGUUUUUCCCAAGUUGCAGGCCAACGUCGGUUUUGGGCACUGGAGAAGGGUGGAAGGAACGUGGCACCCCUCGGGGUGUGUUAUAGCCUUCUACUGGAUACAGCGACCGAGACCGAGGACAGCAGCGUACUCGCAAGAGCGGGCCUUCGGGCACCUUUACGCUUAGGGCGUUGGCAUAAUGGCCCUCUACCA